rnacentral:miRNA from 1 species
UUCUUAGAUCUGAAAGCCUUACC